CUUCCACGUGGGUUUCUGACACCAGCACAGCUUCUUAUCAGCUUAAUGGCUGAUAUGUUCUCUAUCUGAGAACAUGGUAGUAAAUGGAUUUUUGAAAGAGAGAGAUGUAAUGUGAGCUUGCUCCAUCCAUUCCAUGGAUCAAUCUGGUAUUGCAGUCUUUUUGAGAAAGGUACGCAUGCA
rnacentral:snRNA from 1 species